UACGAAGGGGGCUAGCGUUGCUCGGAAUCACUGGGCGUAAAGCGCACGUAGGCGGCUUUCUAAGUCAGGGGUGAAAUCCUGGAGCUCAACUCCAGAACUGCCUUUGAUACUGGAGAGCUUGAGUCCGGAAGAGGUGAGUGGAACUCCGAGUGUAGAGGUGAAAUUCGUAGAUAUUCGGAAGAACACCAGUGGCGAAGGCGGACUCUCUGGACCGAGACUGACGCUGAGGCGCGAAAGCGUGGGGAGCAAACAGG
rnacentral:rRNA from 1 species